AGCGUACACGGUGGAUGCCCUGGCAGUCAGAGGCGAUGAAGGACGUGCUAAUCUGCGAUAAGCGUCGGUAAGGUGAUAUGAACCGUUAUAACCGGCGAUUUCCGAAUGGGGAAACCCAGUGUGAUUCGUCACACUAUCAUUAACUGAAUCCAUAGGUUAAUGAGGCGAACCGGGGGAACUGAAACAUCUAAGUACCCCGAGGAAAAGAAAUCAACCGAGAUUCCCCCAGUAGCGGCGAGCGAACGGGGAGGAGCCCAGAGCCUGAAUCAGUGUGUGUGUUAGUGGAAGCGUCUGGAAAGGCGCGCGAUACAGGGUGACAGCCCCGUACACAAAAAUGCACAUGCUGUGAGCUCGAUGAGUAGGGCGGGACACGUGGUAUCCUGUCUGAAUAUGGGGGGACCAUCCUCCAAGGCUAAAUACUCCUGACUGACCGAUAGUGAACCAGUACCGUGAGGGAAAGGCGAAAAGAACCCCGGCGAGGGGAGUGAAAAAGAACCUGAAACCGUGUACGUACAAGCAGUGGGAGCACGCUUAGGCGUGUGACUGCGUACCUUUUGUAUAAUGGGUCAGCGACUUAUAUUCUGUAGCAAGGUUAACCGAAUAGGGGAGCCGAAGGGAAACCGAGUCUUAACUGGGCGUUAAGUUGCAGGGUAUAGACCCGAAACCCGGUGAUCUAGCCAUGGGCAGGUUGAAGGUUGGGUAACACUAACUGGAGGACCGAACCGACUAAUGUUGAAAAAUUAGCGGAUGACUUGUGGCUGGGGGUGAAAGGCCAAUCAAACCGGGAGAUAGCUGGUUCUCCCCGAAAGCUAUUUAGGUAGCGCCUCGUGAAUUCAUCUCCGGGGGUAGAGCACUGUUUCGGCAAGGGGGUCAUCCCGACUUACCAACCCGAUGCAAACUGCGAAUACCGGAGAAUGUUAUCACGGGAGACACACGGCGGGUGCUAACGUCCGUCGUGAAGAGGGAAACAACCCAGACCGCCAGCUAAGGUCCCAAAGUCAUGGUUAAGUGGGAAACGAUGUGGGAAGGCCCAGACAGCCAGGAUGUUGGCUUAGAAGCAGCCAUCAUUUAAAGAAAGCGUAAUAGCUCACUGGUCGAGUCGGCCUGCGCGGAAGAUGUAACGGGGCUAAACCAUGCACCGAAGCUGCGGCAGCGACACUAUGUGUUGUUGGGUAGGGGAGCGUUCUGUAAGCCUGUGAAGGUGUGCUGUGAGGCAUGCUGGAGGUAUCAGAAGUGCGAAUGCUGACAUAAGUAACGAUAAAGCGGGUGAAAAGCCCGCUCGCCGGAAGACCAAGGGUUCCUGUCCAACGUUAAUCGGGGCAGGGUGAGUCGACCCCUAAGGCGAGGCCGAAAGGCGUAGUCGAUGGGAAACAGGUUAAUAUUCCUGUACUUGGUGUUACUGCGAAGGGGGGACGGAGAAGGCUAUGUUGGCCGGGCGACGGUUGUCCCGGUUUAAGCGUGUAGGCUGGUUUUCCAGGCAAAUCCGGAAAAUCAAGGCUGAGGCGUGAUGACGAGGCACUACGGUGCUGAAGCAACAAAUGCCCUGCUUCCAGGAAAAGCCUCUAAGCAUCAGGUAACAUCAAAUCGUACCCCAAACCGACACAGGUGGUCAGGUAGAGAAUACCAAGGCGCUUGAGAGAACUCGGGUGAAGGAACUAGGCAAAAUGGUGCCGUAACUUCGGGAGAAGGCACGCUGAUAUGUAGGUGAAGUCCCUCGCGGAUGGAGCUGAAAUCAGUCGAAGAUACCAGCUGGCUGCAACUGUUUAUUAAAAACACAGCACUGUGCAAACACGAAAGUGGACGUAUACGGUGUGACGCCUGCCCGGUGCCGGAAGGUUAAUUGAUGGGGUUAGCGCAAGCGAAGCUCUUGAUCGAAGCCCCGGUAAACGGCGGCCGUAACUAUAACGGUCCUAAGGUAGCGAAAUUCCUUGUCGGGUAAGUUCCGACCUGCACGAAUGGCGUAAUGAUGGCCAGGCUGUCUCCACCCGAGACUCAGUGAAAUUGAACUCGCUGUGAAGAUGCAGUGUACCCGCGGCAAGACGGAAAGACCCCGUGAACCUUUACUAUAGCUUGACACUGAACAUUGAGCCUUGAUGUGUAGGAUAGGUGGGAGGCUUUGAAGUGUGGACGCCAGUCUGCAUGGAGCCGACCUUGAAAUACCACCCUUUAAUGUUUGAUGUUCUAACGUUGACCCGUGAUCCGGGUUGCGGACAGUGUCUGGUGGGUAGUUUGACUGGGGCGGUCUCCUCCUAAAGAGUAACGGAGGAGCACGAAGGUUGGCUAAUCCUGGUCGGACAUCAGGAGGUUAGUGCAAUGGCAUAAGCCAGCUUGACUGCGAGCGUGACGGCGCGAGCAGGUGCGAAAGCAGGUCAUAGUGAUCCGGUGGUUCUGAAUGGAAGGGCCAUCGCUCAACGGAUAAAAGGUACUCCGGGGAUAACAGGCUGAUACCGCCCAAGAGUUCAUAUCGACGGCGGUGUUUGGCACCUCGAUGUCGGCUCAUCACAUCCUGGGGCUGAAGUAGGUCCCAAGGGUAUGGCUGUUCGCCAUUUAAAGUGGUACGCGAGCUGGGUUUAGAACGUCGUGAGACAGUUCGGUCCCUAUCUGCCGUGGGCGCUGGAGAACUGAGGGGGGCUGCUCCUAGUACGAGAGGACCGGAGUGGACGCAUCACUGGUGUUCGGGUUGUCAUGCCAAUGGCACUGCCCGGUAGCUAAAUGCGGAAGAGAUAAGUGCUGAAAGCAUCUAAGCACGAAACUUGCCCCGAGAUGAGUUCUCCCUGACUCCUUGA
rnacentral:rRNA from 1 species